rnacentral:rRNA from 1 species
UACGUAGGGUCCGAGCGUUAAUCGGAAUUACUGGGCGUAAAGCGUGCGCAGGCGGUCUUGUAAGCCAGAUGUGAAAUCCCCGGGCUCAACCUGGGAACUGCAUUUGGGACUGCAAGGCUGGAGUACGGCAGAGGGAGGUGGAAUUCCACGUGUAGCAGUGAAAUGCGUAGAGAUGUGGAGGAACACCGAUGGCGAAGGCAGCCUCCUGGGCUAGUACUGACGCUCAUGCACGAAAGCGUGGGGAGCAAACAGG